GGGCACUCUUCUGGUGAUUUAAGUGCCAGUGAGGUCAAAAGUUUAUCAGGGGCUUGCAGUGUUGUGCUUUAGUGUAUGCCUAUUGAGACAAAACAAGGCAGAGGCUGAAGGAUGAAGCUGAGCUGGCAGGGUUAGGCUGGGAAUGCUUUAAAUGAAGAAGGAGCAGCUUUCUCUGUCCUUUGCUUCUCCUCCAGACUGACAUCCAGCAGCAUGUGGCCACAACUUCCCCUGGAGAAGCUUCCUACAGCCACCUUGCGGCAGGAGCUGCCCUGCUCUCCUUUGAUGUGUCGGUUUGCUCCCCAGAGCUGAGUCCUCCUGGUGCUCUCUGGUCUGGAGAGCUCAAUUCACCACCAGCUUCACGCACCCUGCUUUCCCCCUCAGUCAUAGCGCUCUUGUUCCCACUAAAAUCAAUGGCAUGGCAACUGUGUGAGCAAGGGGAGAAUUUGAUAUUACAAGGAAUAACAAAUCACAGGCAUAUCAAGUGUGCCCUGAUAUCCAAGGGCACUGAGCGGCAAGGACCAAGGAGAUCUCUUCCUCAGUCUUUCUCUCCUUCUGCCUGUCUCUGAGGAUCAGUAUUCUCCUUCCAGAGACCUGUAGGGGUCACAGUUGGAUUGUACAACAGGGUGCGAGCCUGUCCUUGGGAGGGGAAACCAUUCCUGCUGAAGUAUUGACCAGAAAGCCAGCAGGAGGCCAAGUGCCCUCUGCCCACAGGCCACUGCCUCAAACCCCUCUCAGAAGUGGGCUCCAACCCAUCCUCUGCCUCUUUCUGCCACUAAGGCCCAGAUGUCUCCCACGGGAUGUAUUUCUUCAAUGUAGUGAAACCAAACGUGUUCCAGGCUGGAAGGAGCCAGUCUCAAGUCCACGCACAUGAGGGUGUGAGGAACCAAGGUUUUACUGGGACAGUGCUAUAAUGGAGAGGGAAGAGAAGUGAUGCUUUAGAUAAUGUGAUUCAUACCUGUGCAGUGCUAUCAAGGGAAGGGAGAGGGACCUAAUUAGUAACUAGGAACCUGAUUAAAGAGGCUCAAGUGAAGACUUCUGUCUGUGUCCAGGUUUCUCGUUUACGUGAGUAUUGGUGGACCGUCACAAUUGGUGUGAAGGGGCUUUGCUUCCUGCUUGUCUAACCUGAUCUUACCCAAAACCAGGUGGUACAAACCUCAAAAAUAAUAAUAAUAAUAAUAAAAAAAAAUCCGGGUGACAAAAUGUGAAGAACUUCAGGAUAUGGGCAGACCUCCACUGAAGUGAAAUGGAUGUGGCAGCUCUUGAAACCCUGACCUGAUUUCCUUUGGAUCAUUACUUGUCUCUGCAGUUCCCUCAUGGGGCUGUGCAGGUCCAUCUUAGCUUCCAGAUUCAGAGCCUCCCGUAACAGAAGUCACAGGACAUAUGCAAGACCAGGCAGCAGUGUGCUAGAGGUGUGGCCUGUGCCUGGACAGAUUCCUAUUCCCACAUGAGAACAGUUGCCUCAGCAGGGUUUUUCUGCCACGAUUGCACCAGUCUGGUCCUUCCUCCUUCCACUGGGUAGCAGAAAGUCUUCUUCAGGUGAGCCUGACCCAGUCUCCAUCAUAAGGAGCAGCCCAGAAACAGCAUCACCUGUCUUCAUUCUGCGAGGUCCCUGUGGACUCAUAACCACAGGAACUCUCCAGUCACUGUCAGAGAUCCCUUCCCAUGCCUGCACUGCACCACAAAUUAGGAUCUGGCCAUGACGCUCACAAGGAUGGACCUGUUCCACUAUGCGAUAAUUAAAUUGCCUGUAAUUACGUUCUUGACAAGUGAAAAACAGGCAGUAAAUGAUCCUAACAUUCUUCGCUCCCUCCCUCUUCCCAAGACUCCCCCAGCUGCCCCUCCCCUCUAAAUGCUGAAUUAUUUUACAGUUGAUAGUUCCUUAGAUUUGCCGACCUUUAAAAGCUGAACACUACAUGCCUGUUGAAUUUUAAUCAAUUUAUUUUUUUCAACUGGAAAUGUCAGACUUCUGUACGGAAUUACUUGGUGCCGGCUGAUGUGACAAAGACUCAAAGUUCAGCAUCUGAAGCCGCGGAGGAGCAGAGAGUUGCGUGCAUUAGCACAGAUAAUUUGCAGGAUGUGAAAAUGAGAGCAGGAGUGAGGGAGCAUAUAUUUUUCAUUAGCUUUGGUUUAGAGGGUUCGGGGACCUGCAUUUAUUUCAUCCAGUGAACUCUGGCCUCAUUAAAUCCAGACCGUGGCUGGUAAUGACUGGAAGUAAGAAGCUGUGGAGGCCACUAAAGGGCAGGAGGCAAAGAGAGUUCUUUGCUGGAGCAUGGAGAGAACCUGGGUGUAUGCGGUGACGGGGGGGAGCACCAGCCUCUGCUGUGUCUGCUCCACGGUACCGAGCACGACAAGAAGGUGCCAGUUGCCCAACCCACCCACCAGUCUGCACUGGUGCAGCUCAUUAAUGCACGUCACACCGCCUGCUUCACGCUGCUCCAGAAGAGCCCAGCAAAACUUCCACUUGCAGUGUAGCCUUCCCAGCCCAAGUGAGGGGCAGAUUAAACUCAGUCGUGUUGAGCUUGGCUGGCAUUGCCUGGAAGGAUCAGGCA